UCAGUUUCCUUAGAAAUAACCAUACAUUUUCCAAACACAUACAGUUUUCUUACGAACAACCAUACAAUGUCCAGACUGUUUUGAUGAGAACAUACAAUUUUCUUACACAUACAUGUUCAUAGAGUUUCCAGUGAUAAGAACAAUUGGACGUCCUUGCACCUGGUCAAGAUGAAAUCCCUCCCUGCACACGCACACCCACACAUGAAUCAGAUCUCGAUAUCCCUUUUCCACCUAGCCAAGUUAAUAAGGGCAACAAAAUAGAAAAGAAAUAAGCAGUAAUGGCAUGCGCGAGUCUCAAAUCCAGAUUUCUAGCCCUUUCCACUGCCCCUUUCUUACCGUUAGUCUCGAUGGAGAUCUGACACAGAUCAGUCGAUGGGUUUACACCGUCACACGAACAGGCCACAACAGAUGGAGAGGUCAGCCGACGCCUGCCUAGAGGAUCGUGAGUAGGGAUGGCAACGGGGAUUUCCUCGUCAGGGAAUGGCUCCCUAUCCCCAUCCUCGCUCGCUGGGAGAAAAAUUCCCCAUCCCCGUAAGGAAUCUGUCCUCGCUAGAAGUACAAUAUUUAAAAAUAAAUUUAAAUUGAUUAUAUCAAAUUAAUAUAAAUUUAACAAACAAGAUUAAAAAUUACAAAAGACAUCUACUUUAGAGUUUAGUUUGCUAUUUUAUAACAUGCCAUGCACUAAGUUUUUACUAUAAUUUUAACAAAUAAAUUGACUAACUUGGAUAAAAAAAGUUUCGUGGAGCGGGUACACGGGGAACGGGGAUGGUUCCGUCCCCACGAACCCGACAGGGAUUAAAUUUCCCUCAUUUAGAUCCCCGUGGGGACUAAAUUAGUUCUAUACUCGUUCCCUAAUAGAGGAAUUCCCCGCGGAGAAUUGGGGAUCGGGUCCCCACUGCCAUCUCUAAUCGUGAGUCUGUGAUGGCUGUGCGGGGAAGUCGGCGAUGGGGUGUGGAGAGGAGUCAUGUGCUGGUGCCGCUGUCGCAGAGAGAGCGCGGCGUCACUGCCAUAGAGACGAGUCGGGUCAUCACUCGUCAGGAGCGCAGAGAGGAUGGCACCGGUGACCUUCUUUGGGUGGAUGUGGCGUUGG
rnacentral:lncRNA from 1 species